AUCUAUAGACAUAUAUAUACAUAGACAUACACACAGACAUAUAUAUAUGUGUGUAUGUAUAUGUGUGUGUAUAUAUAGAUAUACCC
rnacentral:miRNA from 14 species